rnacentral:rRNA from 1 species
GACGAACGCUGGCGGCGUGCCUAACACAUGCAAGUCGAGCGGGAGAAGAAUUCGUUUUUCUCUUUAGCGGCGGACGGGUGAGUAACACGUGGGUAACCUGCCUCAAAGAGGGGGAUAGCCUUCCGAAAGGAAGAUUAAUACCGCAUAAUAUCAGGAAGCUGCAUGGCAUUCUGAUUAAAGGAGCAAUCCGCUUUGAGAUGGACCCGCGGCGCAUUAGCUAGUUGGUGAGGUAACGGCCCACCAAGGCGACGAUGCGUAGCCGACCUGAGAGGGUGAUCGGCCACAUUGGAACUGAGACACGGUCCAGACUCCUACGGGAGGCAGCAGUGGGGAAUAUUGCACAAUGGGGGAAACCCUGAUGCAGCAACGCCGCGUGAGUGAUGAAGGCCUUCGGGUCGUAAAGCUCUUUGAUCAGGGACGAUAAUGACGGUACCUGAAAAACAAGCCACGGCUAACUACGUGCCAGCCGCCGCCGUAAGAC